UAGACUGUGUACUUUUCUCAUUAUCUUUGUAUCUCAUAUUGUUGGAAUUGAUUGUAUGACAUGAAUAGGAAUCUGAUGGAAAUAAAGUUGUGAAAGAUAUCAUUUUUGGCCCAGGAGAAAAGAAAUAUCGGUUCUGUAAGCAUAUCUCAAAACAACGCGUACCUGGUCUGUCUGAUGAUUUGAUAAAAAAUGGAAAGCACUUCAUAUUAAUACGAAAUCCACUCAGUAUUUUGCCAUCUUUUGACAAGGUUGUGGCCCCAUCGUUUCUCGAGCUAGGAUUGGGAGACUUGGUCUCCAUAUACAGCGAGCUUUGUGGAUUGGGAAAGCCCCCAGCAGUCAUUGAUGCAUCAGAACUUCAAGAAAAUCCCGAGGCAAUGGAAGGGUUGUGCUGGUCAAUUAGCGAGUGUUCCAUGAAAUAGAGAGCGGGCACAAGGGCUCAUAGAACAAGUGAGCCUUUUCUUUUCUUUUGUAUAUAAAAUAUAUAUUU